AGCGUACACGGUGGAUGCCCUGGCAGUCAGAGGCGAUGAAGGACGUGCUAAUCUGCGAUAAGCGUCGGUAAGGUGAUAUGAACCGUUAUAACCGGCGAUUUCCGAAUGGGGAAACCCAGUGUGAUUCGUCACACUAUCAUUAACUGAAUCCAUAGGUUAAUGAGGCGAACCGGGGGAACUGAAACAUCUAAGUACCCCGAGGAAAAGAAAUCAACCGAGAUUCCCCCAGUAGCGGCGAGCGAACGGGGAGCAGCCCAGAGCCUGAAUCAGUGUGUGUGUUAGUGGAAGCGUCUGGAAAGGCGCGCGAUACAGGGUGACAGCCCCGUACACAAAAAUGCACAUACUGUGAGCUCGAUGAGUAGGGCGGGACACGUGGUAUCCUGUCUGAAUAUGGGGGGACCAUCCUCCAAGGCUAAAUACUCCUGACUGACCGAUAGUGAACCAGUACCGUGAGGGAAAGGCGAAAAGAACCCCGGCGAGGGGAGUGAAAAAGAACCUGAAACCGUGUACGUACAAGCAGUGGGAGCACAGAGCAAUCUGUGUGACUGCGUACCUUUUGUAUAAUGGGUCAGCGACUUAUAUUCUGUAGCAAGGUUAACCGAAUAGGGGAGCCGAAGGGAAACCGAGUCUUAACUGGGCGUUAAGUUGCAGGGUAUAGACCCGAAACCCGGUGAUCUAGCCAUGGGCAGGUUGAAGGUUGGGUAACACUAACUGGAGGACCGAACCGACUAAUGUUGAAAAAUUAGCGGAUGACUUGUGGCUGGGGGUGAAAGGCCAAUCAAACCGGGAGAUAGCUGGUUCUCCCCGAAAGCUAUUUAGGUAGCGCCUCGUGAAUUCAUCUCCGGGGGUAGAGCACUGUUUCGGCAAGGGGGUCAUCCCGACUUACCAACCCGAUGCAAACUGCGAAUACCGGAGAAUGUUAUCACGGGAGACACACGGCGGGUGCUAACGUCCGUCGUGAAGAGGGAAACAACCCAGACCGCCAGCUAAGGUCCCAAAGUCAUGGUUAAGUGGGAAACGAUGUGGGAAGGCCCAGACAGCCAGGAUGUUGGCUUAGAAGCAGCCAUCAUUUAAAGAAAGCGUAAUAGCUCACUGGUCGAGUCGGCCUGCGCGGAAGAUGUAACGGGGCUAAACCAUGCACCGAAGCUGCGGCAGCGACGCUUAUGCGUUGUUGGGUAGGGGAGCGUUCUGUAAGCCUGCGAAGGUGUGCUGUGAGGCAUGCUGGAGGUAUCAGAAGUGCGAAUGCUGACAUAAGUAACGAUAAAGCGGGUGAAAAGCCCGCUCGCCGGAAGACCAAGGGUUCCUGUCCAACGUUAAUCGGGGCAGGGUGAGUCGACCCCUAAGGCGAGGCCGAAAGGCGUAGUCGAUGGGAAACAGGUUAAUAUUCCUGUACUUGGUGUUACUGCGAAGGGGGGACGGAGAAGGCUAUGUUGGCCGGGCGACGGUUGUCCCGGUUUAAGCGUGUAGGCUGGUUUUCCAGGCAAAUCCGGAAAAUCAAGGCUGAGGCGUGAUGACGAGGCACUACGGUGCUGAAGCAACAAAUGCCCUGCUUCCAGGAAAAGCCUCUAAGCAUCAGGUAACAUCAAAUCGUACCCCAAACCGACACAGGUGGUCAGGUAGAGAAUACCAAGGCGCUUGAGAGAACUCGGGUGAAGGAACUAGGCAAAAUGGUGCCGUAACUUCGGGAGAAGGCACGCUGAUAUGUAGGUGAAGCGACUUGCUCGUGGAGCUGAAAUCAGUCGAAGAUACCAGCUGGCUGCAACUGUUUAUUAAAAACACAGCACUGUGCAAACACGAAAGUGGACGUAUACGGUGUGACGCCUGCCCGGUGCCGGAAGGUUAAUUGAUGGGGUUAGCGCAAGCGAAGCUCUUGAUCGAAGCCCCGGUAAACGGCGGCCGUAACUAUAACGGUCCUAAGGUAGCGAAAUUCCUUGUCGGGUAAGUUCCGACCUGCACGAAUGGCGUAAUGAUGGCCAGGCUGUCUCCACCCGAGACUCAGUGAAAUUGAACUCGCUGUGAAGAUGCAGUGUACCCGCGGCAAGACGGAAAGACCCCGUGAACCUUUACUAUAGCUUGACACUGAACAUUGAGCCUUGAUGUGUAGGAUAGGUGGGAGGCUUAGAAGUGUGGACGCCAGUCUGCAUGGAGCCGACCUUGAAAUACCACCCUUUAAUGUUUGAUGUUCUAACGUUGACCCGUGAUCCGGGUUGCGGACAGUGUCUGGUGGGUAGUUUGACUGGGGCGGUCUCCUCCUAAAGAGUAACGGAGGAGCACGAAGGUUGGCUAAUCCUGGUCGGACAUCAGGAGGUUAGUGCAAUGGCAUAAGCCAGCUUGACUGCGAGCGUGACGGCGCGAGCAGGUGCGAAAGCAGGUCAUAGUGAUCCGGUGGUUCUGAAUGGAAGGGCCAUCGCUCAACGGAUAAAAGGUACUCCGGGGAUAACAGGCUGAUACCGCCCAAGAGUUCAUAUCGACGGCGGUGUUUGGCACCUCGAUGUCGGCUCAUCACAUCCUGGGGCUGAAGUAGGUCCCAAGGGUAUGGCUGUUCGCCAUUUAAAGUGGUACGCGAGCUGGGUUUAGAACGUCGUGAGACAGUUCGGUCCCUAUCUGCCGUGGGCGCUGGAGAAUUGAGGGGGGCUGCUCCUAGUACGAGAGGACCGGAGUGGACGCAUCACUGGUGUUCGGGUUGUCAUGCCAAUGGCACUGCCCGGUAGCUAAAUGCGGAAGAGAUAAGUGCUGAAAGCAUCUAAGCACGAAACUUGCCCCGAGAUGAGUUCUCCCUGACUCCUUGA
rnacentral:rRNA from 1 species